rnacentral:rRNA from 1 species
AUUGAACGCUGGCGGCAGGCCUAACACAUGCAAGUCGAACGAGUGGCGGACGGGUGAGUAAUGUCUGGGCAACUGCCCGAUGGAGGGGGAUAACUACUGGAAACGGUAGCUAAUACCGCAUACCAUCGGAUGUGCCCAGAUGGGAUUAGCUAGUGGUGGGGGUAACGGCUCACCUAGGCGACGAUCCCUAGCUGGUCUGAGAGGAUGACGAGCACAAUUGGAACUGAGAACCGGUCCAGACUCCUCCGGAAGGCAGAAGUGGGGAACAUUGCACAAUGGGCGAAAGCCGGAUGCAGCCAUGCCGCGUGUAUGAAGCAGGCCUUCGGUUUGAAAAGUACUUUCAGCGAGGAGGCGUUACCCGCAGAAGAAGCACCGGCUAACUCCGUGCCAGCAGCCGCGGUAAUAC